UUCGCUCGGGCGGUUUGGGCCACAGUUCAAGUAGCUUCAAAUUUAUACCCACCACGUAGUGCUCGUAACAUGUUCGGCAACUGGUUGAGGGGUAUUGAUAAACAAUUUUCUGCACAUAUUCUUGUGGGGGCGGCUGCCUUAUGCUGGGCAUUGUGGCUUAUCAGGAAUGAUGUGGUUUUUAAUAAAAAAUAUGUUUCAUCUUCUAUGCAGGUUAUUCAUGUAUGUACGCGAUGACUCCGUACUUGGUCUAUCCUGCAGAGGCCGAAGGACAGGGACCUUUUUAUGAUGGUGUCUACGCGGCAGGAGUGUUCGGCCAGGGAGGUUUUCUCCCUCCAUGGAUGGCGGUGUGAUCUUUGGAUAGGAGCUGCCACGUCAUAG
rnacentral:rRNA from 1 species